CGCAAAUUGCGCCCUUUGGUAUUCCGAAGGGCAUGCCUGUUUGAGUGUCAUAUAGACUCAUCUACUCGGGUUUCCGAGUUAGGUGGUUUGGACGUCUGCCGACUCUGGCUCGUCUUAAAUGUCUAAGUGGAAUGCGUAAUAAGUUUUCGCUCCCUCCACUCUAAUCACACUUUAGCUCUGACCUCAAAUCAGGUAGGACUACCCGCUGAACUUAA
rnacentral:misc_RNA from 1 species